GAUGAACGCUGGCGGCGUGCCUAAUACAUGCAAGUCGAGCGAACGGACGAGAAGCUUGCUUCUCUGAUGUUAGCGGCGGACGGGUGAGUAACACGUGGAUAACCUACCUAUAAUAGUGGGAUAACUUCGGGAAACCGGAGCUAAUACCGGAUAAUAUUUUGAACCGCAUGGUUCAAAAGUGAAAGACGGUCUUGCUGGCACUUAUAGAUGGAUCCGCGCUGCAUUGGCUAGUUGGUAAGGUAACGGCUUACCAAGGCAACGAUGCAUAGCCGACCUGAGAGGGUGAUCGCCCACACUGGAACUGAGCCACGGUCCAGACUCCUACGGGAGGCCGCAGUAGGGAAUCUUCCGCAAUGGGCGAAAGCCUGACGGAGCAACGCCGCGUGAGUGAUGAAGGUCUUCCGAUCGUAAAACUCUGUUAUUAGGGAAGAACAUCUGUGUAAGUAACUGUGCACAUCUUGACGGUACCUAAUCAGAAAGCCCCGGCUAACUACGUG
rnacentral:rRNA from 1 species